UAGCCGUAAACGAUACUCGCUAGGUGUCGGCCACGGUGCGACCGUUGUCGGUGCCGUAGGGAAGCCGUGAAGCGAGCCACCUGGGAAGUACGGCCGCAAGGCUGAAACUUAAAGGAAUUGGCGGGGGAGCACCACAACGGGUGGAGCUUGCGGUUUAAUUGGAUUCAACGCCGGAAAUCUUACCGGGACCGACAGCAACAUGAAGGCCAGGCUGAAGACUUUGCCGGAUUAGCUGAGAGGUGGUGCAUGG
rnacentral:rRNA from 1 species